AUGGAGUCCCUCCUCCAGCGCCUCUGCCCCGUGGCACCCUUGUCACAGCAUCUCUGCCCCGUGGCACCCUUGUCACAGUGCCCCUGCCCCGUGGCACCCUUGUCACAGUGCCCCUGCCCCGUGGCACCCUUGUCACAGUGCCCCUGCCCCGUGGCACCCUUGUCACAGUGCCCCUGCCCCGUGGCACCCUUGUCACAGUGCCCCUGCCCCGUGGCACCCUUGUCACAGUGCCCCUGCCCCGUGACACCCUUGUCACAGUGCCCCUGCCCCGUGACACCCUUGUCACAGCGUCUCUGCCCCGUGGCACCCUUGUCACAGCAUCUCUGCCCCAUGGCACCCCUGUCACAGCGUCUCUGCCCCAUGGCACCCUUGUCCAUGCCCCUGUUGGCUGCAGAGGGGAGGAAGGGACACGCUCACCUGCUCGUGGGGCGAUGCCCAGGCACCCUGAGCUCACAUUUGGGACGUGGCUGUGGGGGGACAGAAGGACCAGGAUCACCCCAGCAGCUGCUGGGACACUCCCCCAGCCCUCCUGGGAGCCGAGGACCAGCCCUCCCAGGAACUGCCAGGUGGAAUCCCCCAUCCGUCCUGGAAUCACGGCACGGAGCCAAGGACAACGAGGAGCUGAGUCUGGGGUCCCACCAUCGUCCACACAUGGAUUCAGAGGCAAGCAAAAAUUAAAAAAUAAAAAAAAAGGAAGAAAAAAAACUUUUCUUUCUCAAUCAGAAAAUUUCAGCAUCGUGUCAUAGUCAACUGAAAUAGACUUUCAUGUCAUUUUAUUAAAAAAAAGGAGGGAAGACGAUUAUCCAGAGAAAAAGGGAGGAAGCCAGCAGAAUGCCAGGGCACAGUGAUGGGUGAAACACAGGAAUGACCAGGGAGAAAAGCUCCUGCGCUCAGUGCAUUCUGCCCAAACCACCAAAGGAGGAAGCCAGCAGAAUGCCAGGGCACAGUGAUGGGCGAAACACAGGAAUGACCAGGGAGAAAAGCUCCUGUGCUCAGUGCAUUCUGCCCAAACCACCAAACUACAAAGUCUCUGCUCUAGAAAAUUCACAAUUUUCUCCUCCACGUAAAACUGACAGAUUCACUACAAAGUCUCUGCUCUAGAAAAUUCACAAUUUUCUCCUCCACGUAAAACUGACAGAUUCAAAGCCAAACAUGGAAAUACCUCAGGGUGCUGAUGUACAUUUUUUCUGUUAAAGUUUCUCUGAAAUCUGCUUCUUGUGAAGGAAGGAAAGAAAACAGAGAGAAAAGAAGAAACAGGAUAUUUUCAAGUAAAAUUACUUAGAUGCAGCCAUUUUUUAAAGGGACUGCUAUAGGUAAUUG
rnacentral:lncRNA from 12 species